rnacentral:rRNA from 1 species
UACGAAGGGGGCUAGCGUUGCUCGGAAUCACUGGGCGUAAAGCGCACGUAGGCGGCUUUCUAAGUCAGGGGUGAAAUCCUGGAGCUCAACUCCAGAACUGCCUUUGAUACUGGGAAGCUCGAGUCCGGAAGAGGUGAGUGGAACUGCGAGUGUAGAGGUGAAAUUCGUAGAUAUUCGGAAGAACACCAGUGGCGAAGGCGGCUCACUGGUCCGGUACUGACGCUGAGGUGCGAAAGCGUGGGGAGCAAACAGG